AGCCAUUUGGAGGUAUGAAGAGAUCUUGGAAAUAGAGGCCAUGUGUGUUGAAACAAGACCGAACAACUCCAAGUUCCUGAAGACUUCAUUUCACCAACCCAGAACCUCCUUGAUCAUCACAGUGUUCAAAUGGUUUCCAGCAACAUUCCUACCACCUACUUUGCUGACACAAAGGUGCAUAAACAGAAGUCCUAUGUGGUCGAACCAUUUUACAUUUUCACCAGCAAUGAAGGAGGGUUCCUGUUGCUCUACCAUUUGGUACUGUCAGCGUUUUGGAUAUUAGCCGUCCUAAUAGCCUUUGCAUGGAUGAUUGUCUGUCCUCUGUUGGGCCCCUUCUGAAGAGUUGGAGUUGGCUUUAUACAAUUAUUCCCAAAUCUUCUAAACUGACAGUGAGGGAGAGUAAUUUGAAAGGACUGCUCAACUCAACGUCAUUUGAAGAUUUGCACCACAGCUGCAUUUUUCCAAUUUCCUGGCAUCUAUUCUGCUCUCCUGGACUUUUCAAAAACAAUUGUAAGUGGAUGAAUAAAUAUAAUAACUGAUUCCAUUGAUACUCUUAGACCAUCCUUUGGACUUUCUGCUUUUGGACAUUUUACAGUUUAAAAUUUAUUUAUCAUCUAUCGAUGUUUCCCAAAGAAGGACUCAAAGUACACAUUGUCAAAGAUCUCAUGGAUCUAAUUAAGGACAGGGAACAGGUACAGAAUCAUACAUUGUCUCUACACAGAGGGGAUAAUUUCUGAAGGAAAGAAG
rnacentral:lncRNA from 1 species